AUUUCGUGUUGCGGCCAUUUCCUUAGCAUCUCUUUGUAUCUUUCCCAUGUAUCAUAUAAUGAUUCAAACUCCAACUGACAGAAUAAAGAGAUAUCACUUCUUAACUU